GACGAACGCUGGCGGCGUGCUUAACACAUGCAAGUCGAACGGUAAGGCUCCAGCUUGCUGGGGUACACGAGUGGCGAACGGGUGAGUAACACGUGGGUGACCUGCCCUGCACUUCGGGAUAAGCCUGGGAAACUGGGUCUAAUACCGGAUAGGACCAUGGUGUGGAUACUGUGGUGGAAAGUUUUUUCGGUGUGGGAUGGGCCCGCGGCCUAUCAGCUUGUUGGUGGGGUAAUGGCCUACCAAGGCGGCGACGGGUAGCCGGCCUGAGAGGGUGGACGGCCACAUUGGGACUGAGACACGGCCCAGACUCCUACGGGAGGCAGCAGUGGGGAAUAUUGCACAAUGGGCGGAAGCCUGAUGCAGCGACGCCGCGUGGGGGAUGACGGCCUUCGGGUUGUAAACUCCUUUCACCAUCGACGAAGGGUUUCUGACGGGAGAUGGAGAAGAAGCACCGGCUAACUACGU
rnacentral:rRNA from 1 species